rnacentral:rRNA from 1 species
GACGAACGCUGGCGGCGUGCCUAAUACAUGCAAGUCGAGCGAGACUCUUCGGAGUCUAGCGGCGGACGGGUGAGUAACACGUGGGCAACCUGCCUGUAAGACUGGGAUAACACCGGGAAACCGGUGCUAAUACCGGAUAAUCCUUUUCCUCUCAUGAGGAAAAGCUGAAAGUCGGUUUCGGCUGACACUUACAGAUGGGCCCGCGGCGCAUUAGCUAGUUGGUGAGGUAACGGCUCACCAAGGCGACGAUGCGUAGCCGACCUGAGGGGGUGACCGGCCAAACUGGGACUGAGACACGGCCCAGACUCCUACGGGAGGCAGCAGUAGGGAAUCUUCCACAAUGGACGAAAGUCUGAUGGAGCAACGCCGCGUGAGCGAUGAAGGCCUUCGGGUCGUAAAGCUCUGUUGUUAGGGAAGAACAAGUACCGGAGUAACUGCCGGUACCUUGACGGUACCUAACCAGAAAGCCACGGCUAACUACGUGCCAGCAGCCGCCGUAAGAC